GCCUGGGUGGCUCAGUCAGUUGAGCGUCUGACUUCGGCUCAGGUCAUGAUCUCACGGUUCACAAGUUCGAGCCCCGUGUCAGGCU
rfam:Felis catus isolate Cinnamon breed Abyssinian chromosome C1, whole genome shotgun sequence.